rnacentral:lncRNA from 1 species
GCAUCUAAUUUCAAACUCGAAAAUCGUUCAUCGCUAACAACAACGAAUUCGAAUCUGUCACCAACGUUCGAUUUCGAUUUGUUUUUUGUUUCAGGCUCAUAAACAACACAACAGGUUCGUGGGAUAUUCGGAAGAGAGAAAGAGUCUUCCGACUCUGGCAUAGCAAGCAGCAGAUCAAAGUUUUCUCGUUUAAAUUCGCUCUUUCUCCGAUCCAAUCAGAGAUGGAUUCUAAGACGAGGAGUAUUAAGAAGUACACUUUCAAGAAACCGGAUUUGACAAGGCUAAGGGAGUUAGCAUCUCAUGUGACUAAUCCAAGAGAUUUUCGAGAACGUCAUGGGAGAUUACUUGACCUCCUCAAAGUGAAGGUCGAAGAUGGAAUUUUAGAGACUUUGGUGCAGUUUUACGACCCAAUUUGUCACUGCUUCACGUUUCCCGACUACCAGUUGGUCCCCACUCUUGAAGAAUAUUCCUUUUGGGUUGGCUUACCAGUAUCCGAGGGAGAACCUUUCAACGGCCUUGAACCCAGCCCCAAAAAUGCAACUAUUGCAGAAGCCCUUCAUCUCAAACCUUCUGACUUGGUUCAUCCUCACUUCACCAUUAAAAACAACCUCCAAGGCUUAACCGCCAAGUUCCUCUACCAAAAAGCCUCCGACUUUGUGAAAGCCAAAAAGACCAAUGCCUUUGAAUCUAUUUUCACCUUACUCAUAUACGGCCUUUUCUUGUUUCCCAACAUGGACAACUUUGUCGACCUCAACGCAAUUAAGAUUUUUCUAGCCAAGAACCCAGUUCCCACUUUACUUGCAAACACUUACCAUUCUAUUCACCACAGA